UACGUAGGGGGCUAGCGUUGUCCGGAAUCAUUGGGCGUAAAGAGCGUGUAGGCGGUCCGGUAAGUCCGCUGUGAAAGUCGGGGGCUCAACCCUCGAAUGCCGGUGGAUACUGUCGGGCUAGAGUGCGGAAGAGGCGAGUGGAAUUCCUGGUGUAGCGGUGAAAUGCGCAGAUAUCAGGAAGAACACCGGUGGCGAAGGCGCUCUGCUAGGCCGCAACUGACACUGAGGGACGAAAGCUAGGGGAGCGAAUGGG
rnacentral:rRNA from 1 species